UUUUCUCUUCCCGAUUUUACUUCUUUUGCUUCCAUCUCGUUCCGCUUUUACGUUUGUGCUGUUCAGUCGAUCGGUCGAAGUCUGAAACGGAAACAAAUUUGUCCUCUCAAUCUCGACCUUCGAAUUUGUUGUCCGUUCUUCACAUUUUUUAGCAGUAUUUUGGGAAGAAUCGAAGGUUUUUUUUUUUUUUUUUUCAAGUUUAGAGAUGCUACGAAGAGCAGCGAAGGGUCAGUCGGAAUCCAAAUCCCUUCUUUAAUGGAGUUCAAGGAUUCAAGGAGCAGCAGCAGCACCUGCGAUGCCAAACUAGAGAUCCGUCCGGUGCUCCUCAGCAUCGAUCUCAAUGAGAUUCCUUCGUCUUCCUCUCUUGAAUCCCCUUCACAAGCUCUUGACGCUUAUGCUUUCGUUCGCAAUUUCCAUGAUAACCCAACCCCUGCUUCUGGUGCUGCGGCGGAGUUGCCUGGAGAGGUCCGUUGUGGCUCGACUUGCAGUGCAUGCGGGCGUCCUGAGGUUAGGGGUAGCGUCGUGGUCUGCGAUGGGUGCGAGCGCGGGUUUCACCUCAGCUGCGCUGGGAUGCGAGGACGCCAGGCUAUCAUGCUCGAGGAAUGGAUGUGUGGUGAUUGUGCGAGGAAAGGAGGUGGGAGUGAGCGCUGGCCUUUGGGAGCGGUUCGUUCGGGCUUCAAGCGAAGUGGUGUUAGGCUUUUGGAUAUCAAUGCGUCCCCACCGAGUGAGGGGGAGGGCGAAGGAAGCGACGACUUCCAGAAUUUCAGAAUGCAAACACUGGGUGAAAGUUCUUUCACUGGCAUCCCAUGUAGUGCCCAAAGGACAAAUUCAAACUCAUGGCAUAUGGAAAAUGGAUUUGAUAAACAGAAGGAAGGAGCAUUCACGCGUACAGUCAACUUGAGUCCCAAAGAUGUUGUGCACCACUGUGUGGAUAUGAGUAGAAGUUGGGUGGAGGUUGAUUUGAACUCCACUCUUAAGGGAGGACUUAGUAGUUAUAAUAAUAUGGCAGUUACAUGUCAUCUUGGCCUGCUAUCCAACUGCAAUUCAAUUGGCACAGAGGAUAGAAGUGAUUGUUAUGCUACAGUGCAGAAAGGGUUGUAUAAUCGCAGAAGGAGAAAAGAAACUGCAAGACUUUCACGGACCAUUAGUUUCUCAGAAAGUCAAGAACCCUUAAAGAGAAGUUAUGUUGGGGAGCCUUCUUCAGAUGUUGAGGUCAUGGAAACUCCGUCUUGCAGCUUAGGGAAUAGUGUUAGAGUUACAGAGGCUGUGCCAGAGAGAAAUGGUGGUAAUGGGGUUAAGCAACCUAAGGACGGAUUUCCAAUCCAGUUUGGAGAUUUCUUUGUAGUCAGUGUGGGGGAGGUUGAUGGUCGACCAUCAUACCAUGACACUAGCCAGAUCUGGCCUGUUGGUUAUCAAUCGUGUUGGCAUGAUAAGAUUACAGGAUCUCUUUUUACUUGUGAAGUGUUGGAUGGUGGUAAUUUUGGACCUUUUUUCAAGGUCACAAGACGUCCAUGCUCCGAGGUGCACAUUCCUAUUGGGUCAACUAUCCUCUCGAGGCCAAAUCUUGGCAGGUCUAAUUCUAACUUCGAAGUAGAAUGUGAUGAUCCUUCUACCUUUGAUAUAUCAUACGGUAAUGAUGACAAUAUUCAGUUGAUUCUAUCGGAUCCUUGCCCUCCACUUCUGGAAAAUAUCUAUUUAUCAUGUUUUAGAAGUUGUUUGAGUGAAACUUCUGCUUUUCAAUCAAUGGGUAGUUUGACACCCCAAUUUAGUUGCCUUCCAGAAAAACCUGGUGAGUGCUUACCCAAGAAUUCAGGGGUGAGUGAUCAAAUCGGAGAGUUCUCAGUAGAGGGGAGCUCUACCUCAUCAGUAUGGGGGAUGGUGUCUCAGACUCUUCUUGGUGUUUGCCGUGAUGUCUUCAAGCGGAUUGGCACUUUUCAGUUUUUAUGCAAGCAUGAUUUGGAUGGGGCAUUCCCACCAGGUUUGGAUGCUGCAGAUGCGAAUACUAAUGAUGUUUCUGGUUCAUUAGCGAAAUUUUGCUAUUUGUCUGGCCCUGUUGACAUCCCACGAGUGACUUGUAGUGAUACUGAGCUUGAGUCUUUGUGCAUUGUGCUAGCAAAAUGGUUAGACCAGGAUAGGUUUGGACUAGAUAUGGAAUUUGUCCAGGAAAUCAUAGAACUGCUUCCUGGAGUUCACACCUGUUCACAGUAUGAAUUUUUGAAAAAGAGGAGUUGCUAUUCUACAUCUCAUACUGUUGGAAGUGGGCUUCUUGCUAAAAGGAAGAAUGAAGCAAUAGGAGAGGAAGUAGAAGCUUUGGAUGGUUCAUGUAGGGAAUAUAAAAGAUCCAGGAAGCAGGAUGUGGUUCGAGGUCCUGAGACAAGUAACCACUGUCCACCUGGCAAACUUUUGAGCUCAAGGCUUCCUGCAGAGCUUGUGGGUGAUGUUCUUCAGGUAUGGGAAUUAUUGUGGCGUUUUCAUGAGAUUUUGGGUCUAAAGGAACCAUUAACGCUAGAUGAACUUGAGGAGGAACUUAUAAAUCCAUGGCUUGAUGGCUCUAAUUUUGUUGAGAAUUUUGAAAAAGAAGUUCAAGAAUCUAGAGAAUUAACUUCCCACAAAAGUUGUGGUACAAGUGGCUAUACCUUAUCUCUGAGCAAUGAAUCAGAUCAUAUGGUUCAUGUGGAAAACCCACAUGCUUUCAUUAAAAUGGAGACAGGAUCAAUGAAGGAAGCAGCGCAAGCUAGGCUAGCAUCCCGUACAUACAGCAGAUGCACUGGGGUAGCUUUGACAAAGGCUCAUAGCUCACUUCUCAAGGUGCUUAUUGGUGAGCUGCUGUCCAAGGUUGCUCCUCUCAUAGAUCCCAAUUUUGAUGCUGGAGAGUCGAAAUCAAGACGGGGAAGAAAGAAAGAUGUAGAUACCUCAGGUCCUAUGAAAAAAAUAAAGAUUAAUAUGCUACCUAUUAAUGAACUCACUUGGCCAGAAUUAGCUCGGAGAUACAUUUUAGCUCUCUCUUCAAUGGAUGCUAACCUUGACUCUUCAGAGAUAACUACUCGGGAAGGUGCAAAAGUGUUUCGCUGCUUACAGGGCGAUGGUGGGGUGCUUUGUGGUUCACUCACUGGAGUAGCUGGAAUGGAAGCAGAUGCAUUGCUGCUUGCAGAGGCUACAAAACGCAUUUGUGGUUCUGUGAAGAGAGAAAAUGAUGUGCGGGCUAUGGACUGCAAAGAUUCUGAUGCUACAGGUGCCACUGAAACAAUUUCUGUAAAUGAUGGUAAUAUUCCUGAAUGGGCAGAGACGCUGAAACCUGUGAGAAAGCUCCCUACAAACGUGGGAACCAGGAUUAGAAAGUGCAUCUAUGAUGCUUUGGAGAAAGGUCCUCCGGAGUGGGCAAAGAAAAUCUUGGAGCAUUCCAUUAGUAAAGAAGUUUACAAGGGGAACGCAUCAGGUCCUACAAAGAAAGCUGUCCUCUCUGUGCUGGCAACUGUCUGUGGUGAAAAUCCACAGCACAAACCUGGUAGGGGUAGAAAGGAAAGGAGAGUCAAUGGAAUUUCCGAUAUGAUUAUGAAGCAGUGCCGUAGUGUUCUACGUCGCGCUGCUUCUGAAGAUGAUGAAAGUGUCUUCUGCAAUUUGCUUGGAACGACGUUAUUGAACCCUAAUGAUAACGAUGAUGAAGGUGUUCUUGGAUCUCCGGCUAUGGUAUCUCGUCCUUUGGAUUUCAGGACUAUUGAUUUGAGAUUGGCUGUUGGAGCUUAUGGUGGAUCACAUGAAGCUUUCCUUGAGGAUGUCUGCGAGGUUUGGCAAAAUAUUCGCACUGCAUAUGGUGAUUGUCCUGAGUUAAUGCAGUUGGCUGAAACAUUAUGCCAAAAAUUUGAGUCAUUAUAUGAAAAAGAGGUCCUCACCCUUGUUCAGAAAUGUUCAAAACUUGCUAAUGCUGAAAGUUCAAGUACAGAGGCAAAGAAAGAACUGGACAACAUUCUUCUAAGUGCAAAUGACAUCCCUAAAGCUCCUUGGGAUGAGGGAGUCUGUAAAGUAUGUGGCAUCGAUAAAGAUGAUGACAGCGUUCUGUUGUGUGAUACCUGUGAUUCGGAGUAUCACACUUAUUGCUUGAAUCCUCCACUUGCAAGGAUCCCUGAAGGAAAUUGGUAUUGCCCUUCGUGUGUUUCUGGUCAAUGUAACAAUCAAGAUGUUACAACUCCUGUUAUCAGCCGACACCGACGAAAGAGAUAUCAGGGAGAGGACACUCGCAUACUUUCAGAGUCACUGAUCCAUUUGGCAGCAUCAAUGGAAGAAAGAGAGUACUGGGAGUUAAGCAUAGAGGAGAGGACCUUCUUGCUAAAGUUCUUAUGUGACGAGGCACUGAACACAGCUAUUAUUCGGGAGCAUCUCGAACUAUGUGCUGAUACAUCAGUUGAAUUGCAGCAAAAAUUGCGGUCACAAGCUCUUGAAUUGAGAAACCUAAAGUUCAGAGAAGAAAUCCUAAAUGCAAGAGCUGCAAAGGGAAACACAAACAUGCAUAAUGGAAUUGGAGAAGCUGGAAGAGAAGAAGGGAUGUCCAAUAUGCUAACAAACAAUGGGAGAUGGAUGGGGCAGCAGCAUACUUUGAGUAGCAGGACCAACUAUUAUACAACCAGCUCUGCUAAUUUGUUGCAGCAAGAGGAUGGUCUGGAGGGGAGCGAAACGAAUGAUCUCAAUAAAAAUCCAUUCUCUUUCCUCUCAAAAGGCAUUUUGGAGAAACAUCAAGAUGGCAUUGAAUCUCAAAUUAUGAAGCCUACAGAUACUGAUGGCCAAACAAAGGAUGUACACCCUGCUAUGGUUGUCAGUCCUUUUUCUCACAUGGUUUCUUGCAAAAAAGAUGUAUCCAACACAAAGAAUCAGCAGCCUCCGUCAACUCCUCAGCCAGAGAAAGUCGAUGAUUUGAGCAAAGAGAACCAUAUUCAGAUUCUGAAUGGAAAACAUGAAUCAGAUGCAGAAAAAAAUGGUCCCUCGCGACCUUCUUUUGAUGUUCUACAAGGACCUUGCCCAUCAUCAAACAUCAUGAGAAGCCACCUGGCUGAACAUGUGCCACAUAUUUCUCUGAACUCAGAUGAUGUCCUUGGCCAUACUGGUGUUCAACUUGAUUUGGAUGAUUCACAAGCCUACAACCUUGAACUGAACUCGCUCAAGAAUGAGAUUAAAGUUUUGCAGGAUUCCAUUGCUGAUGUAGAAUCACAAAUUCUUAAGGUAUCUGUGCGAAGGGACAUUUUGGGUAGGGACUCUGCUGGUCGGCUAUACUGGGUUUUAGCCUGGCCAGGUAGAUGUCCUUGCUUGGUUGUUGAUGAGAACGUGGCAGCACAGCAGAGAAAAAGAGCAGUCAAAAUGAAUGGGAACCUAUUUGUAAACACUUUUAGAUCUCUUUCAUUUGGCAGAGAGGUUUAUCAAAGUUCAAGAGGGUCCAAUGAUUUCAGAACAUACGAGUAUGAAUCAAAUGAUGGCAUUCCUGGAUCUACCUCAUGGGCUUUCUAUGAAUCUGAUUCAGAAAUUCAAGAACUAAUUGGGUGGUUGAGUGCAAGUGUUCCAAGAGAGAGAGAAUUGAGGGAGUCCAUCUUACAGUGGCAGAGGCUGAGGUCUGUGGACACUCAUCAAGGUAAAAACUUUGUUGGGAAUGACUCUUGCAUUUCUUCAUCCAAGCCCCUAGAUAGUGAAAAAAUUGUAUUUCCAGAUUGUCUCAUUACUCAGGCUGCUACCAUACUGGAGAAAAGAUAUGGUCCAUGCCUGGAGCCAGAAACCACCGACAACCCCAAAAAACGGAGUAGGAAAGCAAAAGUAACUCAUGAGGACAGAAUGUAUAGGUGUGAGUGUCUAGAACCCAUAUGGCCUUCCAGACACCAUUGCCCGUUGUGCCAUCAGACAUUCCCCACUAGUGGGGAACUCGAGAUGCAUAAUGAUGGAAAGUGCAAUACGGGUGCAUCAGUUCCUGACAACAACAAGGAGAAUAAUGAUUCCUUGAAAGGGAAAGGGAGGAUGAAGUCUGAAACCAUGCGGCAGGAGUACACUGAUGAAAUGGACAUGGUUGAAGGAUCGAAGAAUGGGAGGUUGGACAUAACUUCUAGGUUGAUCAAAUUUCAAAACAAGGGAAUUAUGUGCCCAUAUGACAUUGUGGAGAUCAGUACCAAGUUUGUCACAAAAAGUUCUAAUAAGGAAUUGGUGCAAGAAAUCGGCUUUAUUGGUUCUAACGGGUUUCCUUCUUUCAUCUCAUCAAACUCUCCUUAUCUAAGUGACCCUACACUAAUGUUGGUUCCUACUCAAAAAGAUGAAGCUGAAGUUAACAGUAGCAAUGAUAGUAUUAUCAAUGGUUCACCUAAAAGGUGUGCUCAAAAGGGCAAUGAUGAGAAGGCAUUAAAAUCUGAAAGAUCCACAUUAGACUGUACAAUGGAUAGAGACAAAGUUUCUUCGUUAUGUAUCAAAAAUAGGGAACUGGAGGUUGGUCCCUGCUGCAUAGUCCCUGAGUCUUCAUUGAGACCAUUGGUGGGUGAUGUUUCUCAGAUUCUAAGGCAGCUCAAGAUCAACUUACUUGAUAUGGAUGCUGCCCUCCCGGAGGAAGCAGUCAGAACUUCAAAGGGGCACUUGACAAUGAGAUGUGCCUGGCGUGCAUUUGUCAAAUCUGCAAAGUCAAUAUUUGAGAUGGUUCAGGCGACAACAAUAUUUGAGGAGAUGAUCAAGACGGAGUACUUGAGGAAUGAAUGGUGGUAUUGGUCAUCACUCUCAGCUGCAGCCAAGACCUCUACUGUCUCCUCCCUUGCCCUCCACAUAUAUACACUGGAUUCUGCCAUUGUAUACCAGAAGGCUCUUCUAAAUUUGGAUCUGGCAGACAAUCCAAAACCUAGCAGUAAGCCAGGCAAGAAAAGGAAAGAUGUAGAGGAUUGAUGCAAAAAUCAUGCAUCUCUAUUUUGGGAGAUGUCAGGUCAAACUAAUCUCAGUAGCAGUGAGGUGACAGCUGGCCCCAGCCGCCUGUAAAAUUUAAAUUGUUCUUCUCACCUCAAUGUUGGCGUGUGCUCUGUCAAAUCGAUAUCAAAGGGAAAAAGAUGGAAGCUGGGGACCACUGCUCAUGCAGUUAUGCUGCCACCUCUUUUUGUAUAUAUAGAUCAUUCUGACUUGCUAACAUGGAUGUUGGAUUUGGGGGGAAUGCCCAUUAAAUUAGAUAUAUGGAGAGUUGGAGGUGAAAGAGUAUUAUGAGAAAGAAGGCUUCAGAUGUCAAACUAGCUCCCACUGUGGGGAUGCUCUGAUAUUGUUCACUUCAGGGGAGAGAAAUGAACAUGCAAUUACUCACAAAAGCAAGAUCCACAUCCACAUACAAAGGUACCAAUGUAAAAAAGAAGAUGAAGAAGAGCAGGUGUAGUUGAAUAUAUUUCAUUCUUUAAUAUCUUUUGCCUUCACUUCUUGCUAUCAUUUGCACUCACAGUUUCUCCUUCGGUGUUUUGCUAACUAUUGUUCCAUCCACGCCUGAGAAUGGAGGUUUGGUGGACGCGGUUUUACUGGUAAGUCAAAUUCAUUUUUCCUUUUCUAUUGGUAUGCAGUUGACAGGCAUCCAGGUCCUAGUCAUGCCUCUGUUGUUCUGUGUUGAUAUACAUUGUUGUGGUCCUUAAUUAACAGCUCGAGCUUUUGGGAUGAGUGGUCGUUACAUGGUAUGAGAGGCAGGAGGUAGGGUGUUCAAUCCCAGGUAAGUGCGAGGGGUUUGUUUAAUAAGUUGUUGUGCCCCUUCGGUGCCAUGUGAUGGCGUUACACGCAAAGCCGUGCAUGUGUUUGAGGGCCUACAUGUAGGGUGAGGUGGUGUUGUGUUUUGAUAUUCAUUGUUGUGCCCCAUACUAAACAGCUCGAGCUUUUGGGAUAAGCGGUUGCAACACAUUCAUUGUCAGUGCAUAGGAUAUACUCUUUCCCCAGAGUUCAAUUAGAAAUUUCUAGCAAUAUCAUACAGCACACUCAGAGUGCACAGACAUGUCUCUGCAAAGCCUGGUUCUAGUUUGCUUUUCUUAUUGUGGUCUUACCAGUGGUCAUAUACUGAUUGGGAAGUCUAGACUGCCUUCAGACUUAAAAGGAUGAGGAAGCAGGAAGUUUUUACAUUGUUGUGACAAAGGAAAGGUUGCUUUUGCAUGUUUUAGUACUUCUGGAUUUCAACACUGGUUGUAUCUUUCUCUUCAAACACAGAACCAGAAACAAUGGCGGUUCACUUGGUGCAGCUUACACCUGAUCCUGGAUGAAACCCCCCUCCCUUUGUGGGACAGUGACAGUGACAGUGACAGUGCCUGAAGGAAGAUUUCAUGGUAGAUUUCCAAAGCCCUUUUUGCGGUGGUUUGAUUCAUUCAUGUAACAGAGCUUAAGAAGAGAAUCUGUUGGAGGAUUUGAAUUUGGUUACUUAAAUUCUAGAAUAGGGGGGAUGAGGAAAUUUCCUUAGAUCAGACCUACUUCCAUAUUCUCUCUUGUAACCGCUUUCUGUCUCCUGUUUUGUUCAACUUUCGUCUUGUUAACGUGGUGACGUCAAUUGCAAUGGUAAGGUUGCAUCAGAGCAAAAUAUGGUUGAAGCAGGAUUAAGGUUGUAUACAUUAUGACCGUCCCUAGAUUUUGUAGUGGUGGGAGUCUUGUGCAGGAUGGUAUAUCUUUCUUUUAUUUUAUUUAUUUAUUUAUUUAUUUCAAGGUGGCGACGUGGGUGUAGAGUCGCAUCAUAUCAAGUGAUGAAGAAUUCAUAGGCCUUUUAAAUUAAAAGAAAAUUUCCUGUUUUUCGCCC